rnacentral:rRNA from 1 species
AACGAACGCUGGCGGCAGGCUUAACACAUGCAAGUCGAGCGCCCCGCAAGGGGAGCGGCAGACGGGUGAGUAACACGUGGGAACGUGCCUUUAGGUUCGGAAUAGCUCCUGGAAACGGGUGGUAAUGCCGAAUGUGCCCUUCGGGGGAAAGAUUUAUCGCCUUUAGAGCGGCCCGCGUCUGAUUAGCUAGUUGGUGAGGUAAUGGCUCACCACGGCGACGAUCAGUAGGUUGUCUGAGAGGAUGACCAGCCACAUUGGGACUGAGACACGGCCCAAACUCCUACGGGAGGCAGCAGUGGGGAAUCUUGCGCAAUGGGCGAAAGCCUGACGCAGCCAUGCCGCGUGGAUGAUGAAGGUCUUAGGAUUGUAAAAUCCUUUCACCGGUGAAGAUAAUGACUGUAGCCGGAGAAGAAGCCCCGGCUAACUUCGUGCCAGCCGCCGCAGUAAUAC